CGCUGUAUUUCCCGGGCCGUCCAUGGCUCGGUGCUGUUGGCUCUCUCUCCGUCUGAUCGGCGCAGGCUGCGCGGGGCUCCCUACGGGAUCAGAGCGCUCCCCCGCCGGGACUCCACUCCUCACAUCCUCCUGCUGGGACUCAGCUACAUUUCCAGCCAAGCCUGGCUUUAUUAUGUGUGUCUGCACUGCAGCCCCAGCAGCAAGAUCAGGAGGAGGAAAAGGAGCCAGGACAAAGAAAAGAGAGGGAGGCUGGCGAGAGCUAAAGAAAAUAAAAACCCAGGGCAGCAGCGGCAGCAGCGGCAGCAAUGAAGGCAGGAGCGGUGCCACCUUCCAGCGAAUAACCCAUGGAGGCAGCUAGCGGCCCCGGCAUCGAUGCAAAGAAGCACUUACCUUGUUCCGCGAAGUGCGUGCGUGCAGGGGAAGGCGGCGGCGAGCGCGGCCGGCCGCGGGGAACCCACCCGCCCGCCAGCCCAGCUCCAGCUCCGCGGCCGCACCGCGCCCGGCCGGCCGCCCCCCGGCCCCCGCGGCCAGCCUAAACAGGGACUCGCCGCCCUCCCCGGGCUGCGGCGGGGCGAGCAAGGGACAGAGGCGGCCGGGGGCGAGCGGGAGGAGAGGGAGGGAGGGAGCGAGGGAGGGAGGGGGGUGCCGAGCGCGGCCGGGGGAGGAUUUAGGAAAAUCGCAGCAACAAGGUCGCACCCCCGGAGCGCCGGGGCCGGGGCUCGUCGCGGGCUGAGACACUGAGUUCUCCCUGCGCGCCCUCCCCCACCCCAGCGGCAGGGACCCGCGCAGGGCUCAGCGGGGCUUUUUUUCCCCUUUUUUUUUUUUUUUAAUAUUAUUAUUCCAAAAGUGCGAGCCGGACUGAGAUCCGCAGGGCGCCUGCAAACUUUAAAGAGAACAAAAAGGCGGGUGGGGGCGCGGGCCAGGCUCGCUUUGCGUCGGUAGAGUUUGCACAUCCGAGGGGGGGAAGGAAGGGAAAACCCCCAAAACAACAAAGGAAAAAAAAAAAAUUGCAACUGUUGCGCCUGUUAUUUUAUAUAUUUUUUUCUUUUCUUUUCUUUUUUUUUUUUUCCCCUUUUUUUUCCCCGGGGGGAAGGUGCCCGAGGGGGUGGAAAGAGGAGUUGAACUUGCCGCAUUGCAACAGGCAAAAGAAGUGAGAAAAAAAAUCAAAUAAUCGAUCCCGCUGCUGCCGCUUCGCCUCGCAAAGUUUGGAGGUGGGGGGGGAAAGAGGGGAAGAGAGAGAGAAAAGGCAGGGAGAGGAAGGGAAGGCAGGGACGGGAGGAAGACGAGGAGGAGGAGGAAGACGAGCCCCGGCGCCCGGACAUGUCCAGGAGGAAGCAAGCCAAGCCCCGCUCGGUGAAAGUUGAAGAGGGUGAAUCUUCAGAUUUUGCAUUGACCUGGGACUCGUCAGUGACUCAGUCAGGUGGCCUGGGAGGAGAGCUGGAGAGCGAAGCGAAGGACAGCCGAGCCCUGGAAGAGAGGAACAGUGUGACGAGCCAGGAAGAGAGAAAUGAGGAAGAUGAAGACAUGGAGGAUGAGUCAAUUUACACCUGCGAUAACUGUCAGCAGGACUUCGAUUCACUGGCAGACCUGACUGAACACAGGGCACACAACUGUCCUGGAGGUUGUCUGUUUCAAACAGCAGCAGAGCUAUAUAUGGAUAUUGCCAGCUUGGAAGCGGCUGAUUUUUCUAAACUACUGUACGAUGGUGAUGACGACCCACAACUCUCCUGGGUGGCUUCAUCUCCCUCCAGCAAAGAUGUUGCAUCACCCACUCAGAUGAUAGGAGAUGGGUGUGAUCUCGGCAUCGGGGAGGAGGAAGGGGGGACUGGCCUGCCGUAUCCCUGUCAGUUUUGUGAUAAGUCCUUCAUUCGCCUGAGCUACCUUAAAAGGCACGAGCAGAUCCACAGUGACAAACUACCUUUCAAAUGCACCUACUGUAGCCGGCUUUUUAAGCACAAGAGAAGUAGGGAUCGCCACAUAAAGCUUCACACAGGGGAUAAAAAGUACCAUUGCCAUGAAUGUGAGGCUGCAUUCUCUCGCAGCGACCACCUCAAAAUUCACCUGAAAACCCACAGCUCCAGCAAACCAUUCAAGUGUACUGUGUGUAAACGUGGGUUUUCAUCUACCAGCUCAUUGCAGAGUCAUAUGCAAGCUCAUAAAAAGAACAAGGAACAUAUGGCAAAGACUGAGAAAGAGGUGAAGAAGGAUGAUUUUAUGUGUGAUUACUGUGAAGAGACAUUCAGUCAGACUGAAGAUUUGGAGAAGCACGUAAUGACACGCCACCCACAGCUUUCCGAGAAGGCAGAUUUGCAGUGUAUUCAUUGCCCUGAAGUAUUUGCAGACGAAAACUCGCUGCUCUCACACAUUCAUCAAGCCCAUGCCAACAAAAAACACAAGUGCCCUAUGUGCCCGGAGCAGUUUUCUUCAGUGGAGGAUGUCUAUUGCCACUUGGACAGCCACAGACAACCUGACUCCAGCAACCACAGCAUCAGCCCUGACCCAGUCUUGGGGAGUGUGGCGUCCAUGAGUAGCGCAACGCCUGACUCUAGCGCAUCAGUGGAAAGAGGUUCCACCCCAGAUUCAACCUUAAAGCCUUUGAGAGGACAAAAGAAAAUGAGGUCUGUGGACAGAGAGGAAGGCCAGAACUGGUCUAAAGUUACCUACAGCUGUCCGUACUGCUCGAAGCGCGACUUCAACAGCCUUGCUGUUCUGGAGAUCCACCUGAAGACAAUUCAUGCAGACAAACCUCAGCAAAGCCACACGUGCCAGAUCUGCCUUGAUUCCAUGCCUACACUGUACAACUUGAAUGAACACGUGAGAAAAGUGCACAAAACCCAUGCCUAUCCCAUGAUGCAGUUUAGCAACAUUUCUGCCUUUCAUUGUAACUACUGCCCAGAGAUGUUUGCAGAUAUCAACAGCUUACAAGAACACAUCCGUAUUACUCACUGUGGACCAAAUGCAACCCCUCAAGAUGGUAACAACGCUUUUUUCUGUAACCAGUGCUCCAUGGGCUUUCUGACCGAGGCAACCUUGACUGAGCAUAUUCAGCAGACUCACUGUAAUGUAGGAAAUUCAAAAUUGGAUUCUCCUGUCAUUCAGCCAACACAGUCUUUUAUGGAAGUUUAUUCAUGCCCUUAUUGCACAAACUCCCCCAUUUUUGGCUCCAUCCUGAAGCUUACAAAGCAUAUUAAAGAAAACCACAAGAACAUUCCUCUGGCACACAAUAAGAAGUCAAAAGCAGAGCAGAGUCCAGUUUCUUCUGAUGUUGAAGUCUCUUCCCCUAAAAGGCAACGGCUUUCUGCUAGCGUAAAUUCAGUGUCUAAUGGUGAAUACCCAUGUAAUCAGUGUGAUCUGAAGUUCUCAAAUUUUGAAAGUUUUCAAACCCAUUUAAAGUUGCAUUUGGAGUUGCUGUUGAGGAAACAGUCUUGCCCUCAGUGCAAAGAAGACUUUGAUUCCCAGGAGUCUCUUCUGCAACAUCUCACUGUGCAUUACAUGACAACUUCAACUCAUUAUGUAUGUGAGAGCUGCGACAAACAGUUUUCUUCGGUGGAUGAUUUGCAGAAACAUUUGUUGGACAUGCAUACUUUUGUGUUGUAUCACUGCACACUUUGCCAAGAAGUUUUUGAUUCCAAGGUAUCUAUCCAAGUGCAUCUGGCAGUCAAGCAUAGCAAUGAAAAGAAGAUGUAUCGUUGCACAGCCUGUAACUGGGAUUUUAGGAAGGAGGUGGAUCUCCAGAUCCAUGUGAAGCAUAGUCACCUGGGGAAUCCGUCAAAGUCUCACAAAUGCAUCUUCUGUGGCGAGACCUUUAGCACAGAGGUAGAGCUGCAGUGUCACAUCACAACCCACAGCAAAAAAUACAACUGCAAAUUUUGUAGCAAAGCUUUUCAUGCCAUCAUCUUGCUUGAAAAGCACUUGCGGGAAAAACAUUGUGUUUUUGAUGCUAGCGCGGAGAAUGGUACAGCUAAUGGCAUGACCCCAACUAAUAAGAAGACAGAAGGGGCAGAUAUCCAAAACAUCUUAAUGAAGAAUCCAGAUACUUCUAACAGUCAUGAAGCCAGUGAAGAUGAUGUAGACGCUUCUGAGCCCAUGUAUGGCUGUGACAUUUGUGGGGCUGCCUACACUAUGGAGGUCCUCUUGCAGAACCAUCGUUUGAGAGACCAUAACAUCAGGCCUGGGGAGGAUGACUGUUCUAGGAAGAAAGCAGAAUUCAUCAAAGGUAGCCACAAGUGUAAUAUCUGCUCAAGGACCUUUUUCUCAGAAAACGGCCUGAGAGAGCACAUGCAGACCCAUCGUGGCCCAGCCAAGCACUACAUGUGCCCCAUCUGUGGGGAACGCUUCCCAUCACUCCUGACCCUGACGGAGCACAAGGUCACUCACAGCAAGAGUUUGGAUACAGGGACGUGUCGGAUCUGCAAAAUGCCGCUGCAGAGCGAGGAGGAAUUUAUCGAGCACUGCCAGAUGCAUCCAGAUCUCAGAAACUCCCUCACUGGGUUUCGCUGUGUUGUCUGCAUGCAGACAGUCACCUCUACCCUUGAGCUGAAAAUUCAUGGGACGUUCCAUAUGCAGAAAUUGGCAGGAAACUCUGCAACCUCGUCUCCCAACGGCCAGGCCUUGCAAAAACUCUACAAGUGUGCGUUGUGCUUGAAGGAGUUCCGGAAUAAGCAGGACUUGGUAAAGUUGGAUGUGAAUGGCCUUCCCUAUGGCCUGUGUGCUGGAUGCAUGACCAGGAGCACCAAUGGACAGUCUUCAGGCUUGACUCCACAGGAGGUGAACGAGAGACCGUGUGGCAGCCUGAGGUGUCCAGAGUGUAGUGUUAAAUUUGAAAGUGCUGAAGACCUAGAGAGCCACAUCCAGGUAGACCACCGAGACCUGACACCUGAGACUAGUGGCCAAAGGAAAGGUACCCAGACGUCCCCUGUUCCAAGAAAAAAGACCUAUCAAUGCAUCAAGUGCCAGAUGACCUUUGAGAAUGAGAGAGAGAUACAAAUCCAUGUCGCUAACCAUAUGAUUGAGGAAGGCAUCAAUCAUGAGUGCAAGCUGUGUAACCAGAUGUUUGACUCUCCGGCAAAGCUCCUGUGUCACCUGAUUGAGCACAGCUUUGAGGGGAUGGGAGGCACAUUCAAAUGCCCUGUUUGCUUCACAGUGAAUGGACAACCCAUUUAAAAGGUCUAAGAACUGUGACAAGCCUGCCCUUUCAGAUUCACAUGCCUGCCAGAAAUGCUGUUCUGGGCCACGUGUCUUCCAGACCCCAGCCAUCAAGGCUUCUCCUGGCCCAGUUGUCCUGCAUUAAAAAUGCAUCCGAUGCACCUGCCGCGGGCCCAGGGCUCCCUGCAGGAGUGGUGACGUCCUCUCUUUGGUCUCAUGACUGAGUUCUUCCAGUUACCCGUGGACAGCGUUAGCUUUAUGUGAAAUAUCAAAAAUCCAUGCAGCAUAUAGAGUCUGUUAGAAGUAAGCUGACUGCCAGUCUGGAGACUCUAAAUUGCCUACUUGUAAGGAAAUUCUGCUGAACAGAGUGUAUCAGCACUUCUCUGGCAGAUAUCCUUGGACUUCUCAGAGUCUUUGCAGUUGUAAAAUUGCAGUUCAAGAUGAGGUGCAUUAUAUGAAGCAGUCUUAACUAAUCGUACUAUGUUGUGUCAGUUUUUGUACAGGCAAACAAACUGCAGCAGCACAUCUUUGCAGUCCACGGGCAGGAAGAUAAAAUUUAUGACUGUUCCCAGUGCCCGCAGAAGUUCUUCUUUCAAACAGAGCUUCAGAACCACACAUUGAGCCAGCACGCACAGUGAGCCACUGGCACUACAGGACACCUCUCUGCAGAAGACUUGACGGUGGCACAGUGGGGAGGACCAUUUGAACAUUACAUCCAAUCAAAGUGUCAUUUGCAACCCAGAUGUAAAACUCUAAUGAUUUGGCCAUGAGGCGCUGCUAUUAUAAGCAGCUGGAAAUGAAUAUUAAUGGAAGAGAUUAAAAGUAUUCCAUGCUCAGUAUUUUUUAUUGUCCUGCUUCAGCUAGUGUACUUUAGAGCUUCUGCUUCUGACUGAAUUUAUAGUGUUAGAUAAAUCUGCUUUGAUGCUGUUGCCCUUUGUUGCUUCUUGUAUUAUAUUGAUAGUUAAAGAUUAGGUGUGAUUUUUUUCUUUUUUGUUAACUGCUUUUUAAUUGCAAUUUUAGGUAACUGUGCAUUGUGAUGUGAUUGCUUGGCUAUUGUCUGAAUAUUUCUUUUUAAUUUUUUAAUUAAAGACUAAUGCUUUGAUUGGAUUUGCCAGUUCACCGGACAGUGAUUAAAACUAUGUAAUGAAUAUAAUCUGUUUCAGUGCAACUGGAUGGUCUGCUUUAUAAAUGUGACUUAAUCUGAUUGCAAUAACUAGUACAGUUCAAUAAAGGGAAUACAUGAGCUUA